rnacentral:snRNA from 1 species
UUGCAUGGCCUUCGCUGUCGUUGCAUAACUUAUAACGAACAUGGUUCUUGCCUUUUACCAGAACCAUCCGGGUACUGUCUCUAUUGAAUUCGUUUCUUCCUUGCAUACAUUUUUUGGAACCACUUCUAAAGCAUAAU